rnacentral:rRNA from 1 species
AGCAGCCGCGGUAAUUCCAGCUCCAAUAGCGUAUAUUAAAGUUGUUGCAGUUAAAAAGCUCGUAGUUGAAUUUCGGGGUUAGUAGAUUGGUCAUGCCUCUGGUAUGCACUGGUCUUACUGAUUCCUCCUUCCUGAUGAACCGUAAUGCCAUUAAUUUGGUGUUGCGGGGAAACUGGACUGUUACUUUGAAAAAUUGAGUGUUUAAAGCAGGCUAACGCUUGAAUACAUUAGCAUGGAAUAAUGAAAUAGGACGUUCGAUCUUAUUUUGUUGGUUUCUAGGAUUGACGUAAUGAUUAAUAGGGUAGUUGGGGGCAUUAGUAUUCAAUUGUACAGAGGUGAAGUUCUUGGAUUUAUUGUAAGACUAACUACUGCGAAAGCAUUUGCCAAGGAUGUUUUCAUUAAUCAAGAACG